GACGAACGCUGGCGGCGUGCUUAACACAUGCAAGUCGAACGGAAAGGCCCUGCUUUUGUGGGGUGCUCGAGUGGCGAACGGGUGAGUAACACGUGAGUAACCUGCCCUUGACUUUGGGAUAACUUCAGGAAACUGGGGCUAAUACCGGAUAGGAGCUCCUGCUGCAUGGUGGGGGUUGGAAAGUUUCGGCGGUUGGGGAUGGACUCGCGGCUUAUCAGCUUGUUGGUGGGGUAGUGGCUUACCAAGGCUUUGACGGGUAGCCGGCCUGAGAGGGUGACCGGACAAAUUGGGACUGAGCUACGGCCCAGACUCCUACGGGAGGCAGCAGUGGGGAAUAUUGCACAAUGGGCGGAAGCCUGAUGCAGCAACGCCGCGUGCGGGAUGACGGCCUUCGGGUUGUAAACCGCUUUCGCCUGUGACGAAGCGUGAGUGACGGUAAUGGGUAAAGAAGCACCGGCUAACUACGUG
rnacentral:rRNA from 1 species